rnacentral:rRNA from 2 species
CUGGUGUCAGCCGCCGCGGUAAUACCAGCACCCCGAGUGGUCGGGACGAUUAUUGGGCCUAAAGCAUCCGUAGCCGGUCCUGCAAGUCUUCCGUUAAAUCCAGCUGCUCAACAGAUGGGCUGCGGGGGAUACUACAGGGCUAGGAGGCGGGAGAGGCAAGCGGUACUUUAUGGGUAGGGGUAAAAUCCGUUGAUCCAUAGAAGACCACCAGUGGCGAAGGCGGCUUGCCAGAACGCGCUCGACGGUGAGGGAUGAAAGCUGGGGGAGCAAACCGGAUUAGAUACCCGGGUAGUCCCAGCUGUAAACGAUGCAGACUCGGUGAUGGGUUGGCUUCGUGCCAACCCAGUGCCGCAGGGAAGCCGUUAAGUCUGCCGCCUGGGGAGUACGGUCGCAAGACUGAAACUUAAAG